UUUACAACUUUCAACAACGGAUCUCUUGGUUCUGGCAUCGAUGAAGAACGCAGCGAAAUGCGAUAAGUAGUGUGAAUUGCAGAAUUCAGUGAAUCAUCGAAUCUUUGAACGCACAUUGCGCCCCUUGGUAUUCCAUGGGGCAUGCCUGUUCGAGCGUCAUU
rnacentral:rRNA from 1 species